rnacentral:rRNA from 1 species
GACAGAGGGUGCAAACGUUGUUCGGAAUUACUGGGCGUAAAGCGCGUGUAGGCGGCUCGGAAAGUCGGGUGUGAAAGCCCUGGGCUCAACCUAGGAAGUGCACUCGAAACUUCCGAGCUGGAGUUCUGGAGAGGAAGGCGGAAGUUCUCGGUGUAGAGGUGAAAUUCGUAGAUAUCGAGAGGAACACCGGUGGCGAAAGCGGCCUUACUGGACAGCAACUGACGCUGAGACGCGAAAGCGUGGGGAGCAAACAGG